rnacentral:rRNA from 1 species
CCUACGUGUGGCAGCAGUGAGGAAUAUUGGUCAAUGGGCGAGAGCCUGAACCAGCCAAGUAGCGUGAAGGAUGACUGCACUACGGGUUGUAAACUUCUUUUAUAAAGGAAUAAAGUGAGGCACGUGUGCCUUUUUGUAUGUACUUUAUGAAUAAGGAUCGGCGAACUCCGUGCCAGCAGCCGCGGUAAUACGGAGGAUCCGAGCGUUAUCCGGAUUUAUUGGGUUUAAAGGGAGCGUAGAUGGGUUGUUAAGUCAGUUGUGAAAGUUUGCGGCUAAACCGUAAAAUUGCAAUUGAUACUGGCAGUCUUGAGUACAGUUGAGGUAGGCGGAAUUCGUGGUGUAGCGGUGAAAUGCUUAGAUAUCACGAAGAACUCCGAUUGAGAAGGCAGCUUACUAAACUGCCACUGACAUUGAUGCUCGAAAGUGUGGGUAUCAAACAGGAUUAGAUACCCUUGUAGUC